rnacentral:ncRNA from 1 species
UGAUAGCGUAGAAGCGUGAGGUUGCUACCUGAUAUGGUAGGUUUUCCGUGGAGCGAAUGUCAAGUUAAGAAACUGGCGACAA